rnacentral:rRNA from 1 species
GACGGAGGGUGCAAGCGUUGUUCGGAUUGACUGGGCGUAAAGGGCGUGUAGGCGGUCGGUCAAGUCUGGUGUGAAAGCCCGGGGCUCAACUCCGGAAUUGCCUUUAAGACUGCAUCGCUAGAAUUGUGGAGAGGUAAGUGGAAUUCCGAGUGUAGAGGUGAAAUUCGUAGAUAUUCGGAAGAACACCAGUGGCGAAGGCGACUUACUGGACACAUAUUGACGCUGAGGUGCGAAAGCGUGGGGAGCAAACAGGG